UACGUAGGGUGCAAGCGUUGUCCGGAAUUAUUGGGCGUAAAGAGCUCGUAGGCGGCUUGUCGCGUCGGCUGUGAAAACCUGGGGCUCAACCCCGGGCCUGCAGCCGAUACGGGAUCGCUUGAGGAUUGGAGAGGCAAGGGGAAUUCCACGUGUAGCGGUGAAAUGCGUAGAUAUGUGGAGGAACACCUGUGGCGAAGGCGCCUUGCUGGCCAAUUUCUGACGCUGAGGCGCGAAAGCGUGGGGAGCAAACAGG
rnacentral:rRNA from 1 species